UUAUGCUCGUACGGAAGGAAAGGUGGGGGACCCGCAAGGGCCUCACGCUAUGGGAGCGGCCGAUGUCCGAUUAGCUAGUUGGUGGGUAAAGGCCUACCAAGGCGACGAUCGGUAGCUGGUCUGAGAGGAUGAUCAGCCACACUGGGACUGAGACACGGCCCAGACUCCUACGGGAGGCAGCAGGUGGGGAAUUUUGGACAAUGGGGGCAACCCUGAUCCAGCCAUGCCGCGUGCGGGAAGAAGGCCUUCGGGUUGUAAACCGCUUUUGUUCGGGAAGAAAAGGCACGUCCUAAUACGGCGUGUUCUUGACGGUACCGGAAGAAUAAGCACCGGCUAACUACGUG
rnacentral:rRNA from 1 species